GGCAGACAGACAGAAGCACACAUAUGAUUAAUACAGCACAGCUGCAAGACAGUUAUAUGCUGCCCAGCUAGCUGCAAUGCAGGUAUCUCCAGGAGGGAAGCUGCCAGGCAUACCCCAAGGCAACCUUGGUGCUGCUGUAUCUCCUACCAGCAUUCACACAGACAAGAGCACAAACAGCCCACCACCCAAAAGCAAGGAUGAAGUGGCACAGCCACUGAACCUAUCAGCUAAACCCAAGACCUCUGAUGGCAAAUCACCCACAUCACCCACCUCUCCCCAUAUGCCAGCUCUGAGAAUAAACAGUGGGGCAGGCCCCCUCAAAGCCUCUGUCCCAGCAGCGUUAGCUAGUCCUUCAGCCAGAGUUAGCACAAUAGGU
rnacentral:ncRNA from 3 species